rnacentral:piRNA from 1 species
UCGAAUCUUUUGUUGACUUGAGC